rnacentral:rRNA from 1 species
CAUGCAAGUCGAACGAGACCUUCGGGUCUAGUGGCGCACGGGUGCGUAACACGUGGGAAUCUGCCCUUAGGUACGGAAUAACUCAGGGAAACUUGAGCUAAUACCGUAUGAUGUCUUCGGACCAAAGAUUUAUCGCCUAAGGAUGAGCCCGCGUCGGAUUAGCUAGUUGGUGGGGUAAAGGCCUACCAAGGCAACGAUCCGUAGCUGGUCUGAGAGGAUGAUCAGCCACACUGGGACUGAGACACGGCCCAGACUCCUACGGGAGGCAGCAGUGGGGAAUAUUGGACAAUGGGCGAAAGCCUGAUCCAGCAAUGCCGCGUGAGUGAAGAAGGCCUUCGGGUUGUAAAGCUCUUUCACCGGUGAAGAUAAUGACGGUAACCGAAGAAGAAGCCCCGGCUAACUCCGUGCCAGCAGCCGCGGUAAUACGGAGGGGGCUAGCGUUGUUCGGAAUUACUGGGCGUAAAGCGCACGUAGGCGGCUUUACAAGUCAGGGGUGAAAGCCCGCGGCUCAACCGCGGAAUUGCCCUUGAGACUGUAUCGCUUGAACACGGGAGAGGUGAGUGGAAUUCCGAGUGUAGAGGUGAAAUUCGUAGAUAUUCGGAAGAACACCAGUGGCGAAGGCGGCUCACUGGACCGUUGUUGACGCUGA